CAUUCUACUGUUUAUUACACAUAUUACAUUCUUAAAUAAAAAUGCGUCACAUAACAUUUUUUGCAUAGAUAUCUUACAAUAUACCAAUUUAAAAAAGAAUUAUGAAACAGACCAGUAACAAAAAUAAAUUUUUUCUUCAUUAAUAAUUUUGUAACAUUAACAUACCACCAUCAUAUAAUACAAAUAAUAGUUUUAAAUCUUAAGACUUUUGUACAGCAAAAAAACUUGACAAAGUAAUAUAUUUAUAUAUAUAUAUAAAAAGCUUAAAAAAAAUAAAAUGUCAAAAAAAGGCAUAACCGAGGGCUAUAAGACUGGGUACUUCUGUGAUAUAUUAUAAAUACCAGAGAAGGCCUGAGAGAAUGUGACCUGGGGGGAGGCGGGGGCGGGGAGGGGGCUGGGAGUAGGUCUCUCCUAACACACUUGUUAGACACAUCUGGCAAAAAGAAAAUGUAUAGUGCAAAAAUAAAUUUCUUCAAGCAACUGUUAAGAGGAUAAUAGAGAUUUGAAAGAAAAGUGGUGGUGGUCGGGAAGUUGUGUGCUGGGUAUGGGGACAGGGUGAUGAGAGAGAAGGAGUUUGGGGCGAUUCAUGGAAAGGAAGGGCAGGCUGCAAAAACAUUCAACAUUUAUUUUUGCCUCUGUGUUAGCAAGGAGAUCUUGGCCAUAAUAGGUGUAUUUUUCCUCCCUGGAAUGAAGCAGAAGUGAAAGAUAAGGAAAUUAAAUCAGGUCUGGGUUUAGAUAGGAAAUGCAUGCUGGAAAAAAAAGAAAGAAAGAAAGAAAGAAAGAAAGAAAGAAAGAAAGAAAGAAAGAAAAAAGAAAAGGAAAGGAAAGAAAACGGUUGAGAACCAGCCAAUGAGCCCCAAAGCCUUUCGGAACCUGGAUUUGCAGAAAUCAUUCUGCCUCCGGUCCCAAGGCCUAGGAUUAAAAUGUCCCCUCUCCCCACCCGCCGCCCCUCCCCUCCACGUGGAGCUCCCAGUGUGGUUUCAAUAUACUGGCAUUAUAAGCAUCCGUCCCCCCCAAAAGAUAUUAGGCACUGGUGGCUACUCCUCUUAAACGUCAGUAGCCUGUUUUCCUUCUGCGAAGGUACAAUAGGUACAUCUGCACGCCUGUCUAGGCGUGGGCACACAUACCACCCUCAUUAUUCUGACGUGGGGUCCGUUUUAUGGCAGUAGACAGAAGCUGGAGUCAAAGCAGUUUACGAUUCCAAAGCUUACAGUUGAAAAAAAUUGUAUAAACAGUCCCCAACAAAGAACGUAUCACCCUUCCCUCAUGACCGCUGAGAGGGAGCCCUGUUUGAAAAGAGUAUCUGGUUGGGGAUAUUAGUGAAGUGACCGCCUAGGAUUUCGCUCUCCAUUUUUGAUACCUGUUUCCCGAGGACUUAAAAACGUAAAUGCAAAACACCUGAAGAAUACAGUACUAUAUUGGAAGGGCGCACAGAAGAAAAGUGAAUUGCAGCUUUAUUCUUCCCCCCUUUUCCGGGAUCUAUUUAUCAGGAACCAACAGAGGGGGGGUUAAGAGUGUUAAAAGCAAGAGAAAACCCUGAAGCCUCAGGCCAUUAUUCAGGGGAUCUCAUGUUUACAAGCAGUUUUUGUUUCCUUGGACGCAUUUUUGUUAUUCCGUCUCAAGUAUUCCCGAAGAUCCUCACUGAGGAAAGGAGGCCGUCAAAGAGGCAUUGGUGUAUGCUCAGGCCGGCCCCUCUAGUUUCCAAACUGAGAGAUCACCAUGUUUACCGAAAUUUAACCCAAACUCAGAAUUCGAAUUCUCUCCUCCAGCCCCUACCCUCCCACGACCACCCCCCCCCCCAACACUUGGCAGGUGGCCACUUCCGGAAGAUGCCAGGGAAAGCUUCCACGUGUACAUUUCAAACAGGCUCUGCUUGACGAAUUUUCACUUUGGCAAAGAUCUGGGUGCAAAAUUAUGGCCAGAAACGCUGGCCCUCAUGAGAUCUUUUAAAAAGAAAGAAACGACAAACCUGAUUUUUGCAGUUAAAUACGUCGCAUCUCUCUGACUUUCCCUACCUUCUUCCUUCUCCUAAAACCAACUUGUGCAAAAGAGAAGACAAAAGUACUCUGCACCGUAGUUUAUAUUUUAUGAAGCGACUUCCAUGGCGGAAAUCAUUUUGAACCAAUGAAACUGAUCACUAGAGGUGGUUGUUCUUGCCAUUUGAGUUCAUUCCUUUUGACUUUGCCAUACAAUUCAGGCAUGGGGGCUAUGGGCGGAAUGUUCUGAAUGCACUAGGUGAGCUGCCCUGAAAGUCCCAUUUAUUUCCCCUUUUGAUGCAAAUAGACAUGGCUAAUCUGGAAGCUUAUCCCAAAGGAAAGUCCUUAAAAAAAUCUUCUCUGGCUUCUGGAUUCAAAGAAGAUUUUUUUUUUAAAGAUAGGAAUCAGUUCUAAUCAUGCGUGAGGUUGGCUGUCUUUUUACCCUGUUAUAAUCAGGCAAUCGAAGAUGUAAAAAGGGCACAAGAGGUGCAGGAAGGGAGGAGAUGGGGUGUCUGAAGGGCUUUGCAAGGGAAAGCACAUAGAGAGGAGGAGGAAAUGGCCAGCGUGAGUUCGUUUUGGGGUUUCCGAUAUUUUUACAAAAUGCAGCUUUGUCAUGGAAUCUGAACACUUCUUUUUCUGGACAUAGGACUCCUCACCACCAGGCUUUAGGCUGGGCCAAUUAACUGUUAGUGGGGCAGGAGGCCAGUAGCUGGGAGAAGCAUGAUAAUUUCACGUUUCCACAUCUUUGACUCAUAGCCAUGUGGCAGGAGGACUCAGAAGCACAACUUGAAAGAAAGGAAAUGGUCAAUGGCUCAGAAACACUCUUCCUCUGAACAUCAAGCUCUGAACCCUGGAUAAAAUGUGCUCGAGAGGACAACCGCAGGACACACCAUGCCAGGUUUUUCCUUCCAAAUCUGGGAUCCCCGGGAAUGUCAGGAGGUAACGAUUUAAAUGAGAAAGCGGCUUAAUGUGUUUUAAAUGUCCAUUAAAGCACGGUUUUAAAUAACCUGUCCUCUUGGGGGGCAAAGCAUCUUCAGAGGGUUAUUUCCUGGAAAGCCUGCUCCCACUCACAGGCUCUUACCAACCGUCUCUGCCAUUUCAGAGACGAUGGAGAUUUUAUCACGAAUCCGUUUCCAAAAUGAUGGGGUGUUACCCUCGCUUUUGUGGCUAGGUCACCGAUCACAGGUGUCAACCAGGCUAGAGAAGAACAGUUUCAAAGCCAUACACUUAGCACCCACCGAAUUUCAGGCCAAUUCUCACAGCCCACAAAGGACUCUGAAGCAAGUAAGCCUCACCAUCGUGGUUCAGCGCGCCCUGCUCCGACCAAGGUCAGGAGCAGAUUACAAAGGACCUCACUGAUACAAAAGAGAGAGGAAUUACUGAACAUUUCAGACACUGAUGAGGACCAAAAGGGCCUUUGUUCCGCCACAUUCAAAUGAGAACUUUUCAAGACCACAGAUGACAACAGGGAGCAAACAAGCAAUGAUUACUCUUUUGCGUUCUUUUUUUUUUAAACUUUCUUUUUAAUAGAGCCUUGCAUUGGUCAGUUCAAAAAUUAAAUUCAGUAUUAUAAA
rnacentral:lncRNA from 1 species